GCUGGUGGCAUUGCUCGGUUGUAUACGACUUUGGUUGUAUACGACCUCGAGAAGCGUGUCAUUGCUCGUCAGAUUUGGUUGCACGACUUUUUUCGGUUUGACAUUUGGAUGUAAACAAACAAAGAAGGCAUAAACACAAAUAAAUCAGGUUCGCGAGUUAUCCGUUUCGACAAAAUAAGCGAGUUCAUCGUUUUUAACGAAAAAAGAAAAUUAAAUAAUGGAUUCUGAUACUGAACAAAAGAUUUUACGGAGUACGAGCCUCGCCUUGCGUUACUUAUUGUUGCAAAAACAAAGGCGGAAUGAAGUCAACAGUAUAUUUAAGGAUCGCAAGCUAAACGGGCAAUACUACGUGUUGUUUCCAAAACUUCAACAAGACGAACAGAAGUUUUUCGAAUAUAUGAGGAUGUCAAAAAGAACAUUUGACUACAUUUUGGGAAAGAUAGAACAUCUCAUCACAAAACAGCCCACACACGUUCCAUACAUUAGUCCAGAGGAGAGAUUCUUGCACUAAAGAGAUCAAAAAUUCUUCGUCAAUUACAGUUUUUGCCAUGGCGAUGUAGCUGUUUGUAGCAAAAUCACUUGUUUACAAAUAA